GUGGGAGAGUCUAAGGGUGAGGAUGAGGCCGCGUCGCCGGCCGCUUUGGGGGCGCUGUGCUUGGGGGCUCAGGCAGGAGCCCGGAGCCCGGCGGGAGGCACUGGCGGCUGCUGCGGAGGCCUUCGCAGGUCUCACGUCCUUUGCGAAUCCGGCUGCCUGGGGCUCAAGGCAACAGACUUGCUUUAAGCAAGGUAGCUACAGCUUUGGGGGCUCUAAGCAUCCCCCGGAGCGAGUGCAGGCUUGAGGCAUCCAACUCCCCUCUGAUUUCUGCACAGUUACAGAGGGAGUGUGUGCUAGAAAGGGCUUUGCUGCCCCGCGCAUUAUCUUGCCAUUUUCCCGUCCGGAUGCUGCAUAAACGAUCACCUGAUCAAUUGACUGAGUCGCCGAAUGAUAGAAGGAAUAAACAUUUGCCCUGGAUAAAAAUGUUCUUGGGGCUGACAAAUGCUAAGAAGAUCUGAAAUCGACUUGAAGAUCCCUAUACUGAAGUACAUUCAUUACAAAUAUGAUUUUAGCAAUUGUAAUACAUAGGCAGCAUACUUUUCAUUUAAGAUCUGAAUAUGAUGCCCAAGCUUACUUACCUCAUUUGCUAUUCAAAGAAAUGCAUUUAAGGAGUCAGGAAACUGGACUUCAAGUAGAAAAAAUAUGACAUUAAAAUUUUUAUUUUAUGCUGGGUAUGGGGAUGCAUGCCUGUAAUCUCAGCAUUUAGGAGGCUGAGGCAGAAAGAUUGCCAUUAGUUCCAGGCCAACCUGGACUAUGUAAUGACACCCUGUCUCAAAAAACAACAACAACAACAACAACAAAAAAAACCAAUUUAUAUGUGAAACAAAUUUAAGGUUGUUGUUCUACAGUAUUUGAAAAAAAGACAAUUUGACCCAUAAUUCCUAACUCUUAAUGUAAUUUGUAGUAUUUAAAAGUUACAUUAAACUGGGAUUAAUGCCUGUAAUCCCAGCUGAGGUAGGAGAAUUGCUGAGUUCAAGGCAAGCCUGGACUACACAGCAAAACCCUGUCUCAAAAAGCCAAAAUAAAUAAAUAAAUGUUACAUUUAAUAAUUUAA